GAGAAGUACGUCCCUCUGAGCUCACUUCCGUCGGUUUGAGUUGGCUGUUCUUCCAGCGCCUCGCAGCUUUUGUUCUCCCAUUUCCAACUAGCCAGCGCUGCUGAGAAGAGGGAACCAACCGGUUGGGAAGCGGCAAACAGUAACGGACCCGUCGGUCGCACAAAAACGCCACAUGCAAAGCACGGUCUGCAAAGAGGAUACGCGGUUCUCCGUAGUUACAUAAUUGGACUACUUUUUCCUCCCCGUAUACUGUUGGGUUUAUUUUUCUCCACGCUUUAUUUUUUUGCACCGAAACUGACUGCCCCCCCUACACCUCCAAACUCAACAAAAUGGAGAACGACGACAAAUAUCUCCCCGAGCUUCUGGCAGAGAAGGACAGCCUGGACUCGUCGUUCACGCACGCCAUGAAACUUUUAAACGCGGAAAUUGACAGAAUCCAGAAAGGUGAGACUAAAAAGGAAACUGAGACAUACCUGGACCUUUUCACGACGAAGAACAUCAAACUCAAGGAGCGAGUGCUCAUACCUGUCAAACAGUACCCGAAGUUCAAUUUUGUGGGGAAGAUUUUGGGACCUCAGGGCAACACAAUCAAACGUCUGCAGGAGGAGACUGGAGCCAAGAUCUCUGUGCUGGGCAAAGGAUCCAUGAGAGACAAAGCCAAGGAGGAGGGGCUGAGGAAAAGCGGUGAGCCCAAGUAUGCCCACCUCUCCAUGGAGCUGCACGUGUUCAUCGAGGUUUUUGCGCCUGUGCCCGAGGCUUACCUGCGCAUGGCCCACGCCAUGGAGGAGGUCAAGAAGUUCCUGUUUCCGGAUAUGAUGGAUGAUAUCUGCCAGGAGCAGUUCAUGGAGAUGAGCUACCUGAACGGAGGCCAGGAUCACGGAGCCCGAGGCCGAGGUGGCCUGCCAGUCAGGGGCCGCGGUGUCCCCCCUGCAGGAGCACACAGGGGCAGGGGAAUGCCGCCUCGUGGUGCUGCCGCCAGGGGAGGUGUGACUCGAGGUGGCCCAGCCAGAGGUGGCGCAGUGAGGGGUGCCCCAGCAGGCAGAGGAGGACCUCCCGCAGCACCCGCCAGGGGAGCUGUGGCACCCCGUGCCAGACUCAUAGCUGGAGGACCUCCCCAGAGGAUGCCACCACCGCCUCCACACCAGCACAACCCCGGUGCAGCUGCUGAAGGCUAUGACGAAUAUGGCUACGAUGAGAGCUACACAGACACGGCCUACGAGUCUUACGACAGCUAUUACAGUCAGCCGCAGGCAGAGCCAGAAUAUUAUGACUAUGGACAUGGGGAGACCACAGAGUCGUACGAGUCCUAUGGCCAGGAUGACUGGAACGGCACCCAGCGGACAACUCCAGGGAAGGCCCCUCCCCCCUCUCGAGGCGGCAAGACGACUUACCGGGAGCACCCAUAUCGACAGUACUGAAGCGGACUCGCCACCCUUAGUGUCGCCCUGACAAGCGCCUGUCUACCACGGCAGCUCUCGCUUUAAGAAGCCCGACAAAAGACCCAGAGGUAAGACCUCUAAAAUAACCUGGAUAGCUUCCUAAUGUGUAUAGAGUUCUAAAGCAUUGAAUGCCUGGGUACGUAUAAGACUUUUUCAAUCCUCCUACCUGUGGUCGUAAUCCUUAAUGAGAAUUGCUUUUAUAGCAUCUGAAAAUUAACUGAGUUCAAACCACCAUUCAGGUCUAGGCUUCAUUGUCAUGAAUGACAGCUGGCGCGAUGGCUACUUUAGUACAGAGUGUAAUGGCAGUGCAAUGGAGAGGAUGGUUAUAACCUAGAGAACUCCACUGUAAAGGUAACCUAACCCUAAAUGUUUAAUUUCUUAGUGUGUUUAUCCUUUGACAUAAACUUUCUGGUAAAUGCGUACAAUUUCUUAAAAUAUCAUUACAGUCAUGGCAUCAAAAAAGAAUCGACUCAAAAGCACAGCUAUCGGUCACUGAGUGCCCGGAGACUGACGGUCGGCUGGACAGAGACCAUGCAAACGUCAGUUGAAGCCGUGCACGGGAGCAGCUCAGCAUGGUGUCGUGGUCAGACGGAGCUGAAAAGGAGUGGCCUCGAGGCCCAGUUCUGUUCCUGGCAGGGGUUGUGGGAGGUGAUGGGGGUGGGUGGGGGAAGGGAAGAGGAGCAAAUGGGUGGUGAGAGGUGGCCGGCUGCCAUGUCAUCCAAAGGAGCCAGCUGAUUUAGAGGUUGGGGGGAGAUGAGGAAAAAGAGAAAGGAGCCGGUUGAGACUGCAGCUGGUCAGUGAGCAGACUGAGAAUCCAGAGACUCCCAUUUCACGUGGACUCUUUCCUCCUAUUUAUAUAUUUCUCGUCACUAUCGAAUUAGAGCACAUUAUUCUCGUGUUAAUUAUUUUCAAGUCUGGAAGACGCCCACUCGAAGCCUGCGCUGAUUGUGCACACUUUUGCGCGUGGCUUCCGCAGACCACCCCGUGGUCCGAGCAAUGUAAUUGUCACAGCCUAAUUUACCAUAAAAUGAGCGCUCCUGUUAUAGCAGGCUGUGAAAUCAUUUUUAAUUUCCUUUAACUGUUGAGUUUGACAUAAAAGGAAACUCUUACUUUCCACCAAGGCGAGCUGUAUCCGUUUCACCAGCCAGCAGUUUUGUAUCCCGGCACUGAAUUAGAAUCCAGGCUCAAGAGUUAGAAAUGAUCGGUGUCUCGCUGAGGACGAGUUCGCGAAACGCACUCUUGCCACCUCUCGCACGAGCCCCAUGCGACGCCGCGGAUAAUGAAUGCUAAUGCUAAGCACAUGCAAAUGCUUCCUAUUUGCAUGUGCUUGCAUGUACCCUCGCCGCGUAUGUGAAAGGCUUUCAUAAGCAGCGCUGGCCUGUUCUUUGCAGUUCAGCAUCCAAGAAUUUGAAUUCGACGAGAUGGAGUCGCAUGUGAGAAAGGGACAGAGGGUGAAGGCAGACAUUACUAACAUCCCUGCCAUCCAUCCAUCUAUCCAUCAUGCUUGUGUUGAUUUGAUUCCCCUCUCUGCCAUUUUCUGCCAUUAUCACUGAUGAUAUUACAGCUGCCUGUGGUGCUGAGUUACAUUUAGAGGUCAAAACUGUACUUUCCUGUAUUAAAAACAAAUUUGUGUCCCGAUCCGCUGGUCAGAGGCAGCAUUAGCCAAGUCAGAGGCUCCAUUUCGUUUAUUGAAAAAGCCAGCAGCUCUGAGGAUAGAACAUUAGAUAUUAGGAUAGAAACCAUCAUUUGAGAUGAAAUGUCAACGGGCCAUAGCCAAAACAGACCAUUUUUCAGUCUUUAUGUGCCAUUAUGUCUAAAAUAAUGAUUUCUGCGUCUCCUGUAAUCUAAUGAAAGAUGAGUGAUGGUGUGGAAGCCGCUUCCUUUGUUUGGAUCGAUGGAACUGUCAAAAGUGUGAGGUUUGGAAGUAAAUACUACUGUGCAUUGAUCAAUAAAGGUUGACUUGAAUAUAAAA